GACGAACCGUGCGAACGUUGUUCGGAAUCACUGGGCUUAAAGGGCGCGUAGGCGGUCUGCACAGUCGGGGUUGAAAUCUUUCGGCUUAACCGGAAAAGUGGCUUCGAUACUAGCAGGCUGGAGGGAGGCAGGGGCGGAUGGAACUUCCGGUGGAGCGGUGAAAUGUGUUGAUAUCGGAAGGAACGCCGGUGGCGAAAGCGAUCCGCUGGACCUCUACUGACGCUGAGGCGCGAAAGCCAGGGGAGCAAACGGG
rnacentral:rRNA from 1 species